GUCCACGCCGUAAACGGUGGGCGCUAGGUGUGGGGAACAUUCCACGUUCUCCGUGCCGCAGCUAACGCAUUAAGCGCCCCGCCUGGGGAGUACGGCCGCAAGGCUAAAACUCAAAGGAAUUGACGGGGCCCGCACAAGCGGCGGAGCAUGCGGCUUAAUUCGAUGCAACGCGAAGAACCUUACCUAGGCUUGACAGUUGGGGAAAUCUGGCAGAGAUGUCAGGUCCGCAAGGGCCCCAAAACAGGUGGUGCAUGGCUGUCGU
rnacentral:rRNA from 1 species